rnacentral:lncRNA from 1 species
ACCGACCGAGUUCGUUGUGAGCUCGUAAAACAACAAGUUUGGUUGUGAGCUUGGAAAACAACCGGCUGUAAUCCAAGGGGUUAUAGUGAAUUCCCAAGUGAGGCUUGGGGAGUGGACGUAGGAGCAAGGGUUAGCUCCGAACCACUAUAAACAUCGUGUUUGUGAUUGCUUGUCUCUCUUUCUCUCAUUCUCAUUUCACUCAAAACACAUAGCAACUAAUUAAUCACCUUGCAAAAGUAUUAAUUAGUCAUCUACAAAAGUUUUAAUUGUAAAAUUAUUUUAAAACCCAAUUCACCCCCCCUCUUGGGUUGUCUAUCUGGG